rnacentral:lncRNA from 1 species
CCGCGAUGGAUCUGAUUGGCUAGGAGGGGUUAUGAACGUCAUGAAUACGUAAUCGAAACAGGACAGUUGACUAAUAUAAAUAGAGGGUGCUGUACAAAACGAGCGAAAUAGGCGAGCAGCUCUGGACAAUUGACUUAGUCGCCUAGGAAGUGUAUGAGUGCUAGCGGUUCACUCGUAGAGUUACCACCUCCCAGAAAGCCUGGAAGUAAAGAUUCCCCUCAUCAGAACUGCAGAAACCCUGUCUGCUUUCAAGAAGGGUUUGAAAACCCACCUUUUCCAGAUCCACUUUGCCCAAGAUCUCUUCAGAUCAUCUAUGGUGCAACUGUUCAUGCAUCAUAACUCCAGAAGCAUCC